GUAGGGAAUCUUGCGCAAUGGGCGAAAGCCUGACGCAGCCAUGCCGCGUGAAUGAUGAAGGUCUUAGGAUUGUAAAAUUCUUUCACCGGGGACGAUAAUGACGGUACCCGGAGAAGAAGCCCCGGCUAACUUCGUGCCAGCAGCCGCAGUAAUACGAAGGGGGCUAGCGUUGCUCGGAAUUACUGGGCGUAAAGGGAGCGUAGGCGGACAGUUUAGUCAGAGGUGAAAGCCCAGGGCUCAACCUUGGAAUUGCCUUUGAUACUGGCUGUCUUGAGUACGGGAGAGGUGAGUGGAACUCCGAGUGUAGAGGUGAAAUUCGUAGAUAUUCGGAAGAACACCAGUGGCGAAGGCGACUCACUGGCCCGUUACUGACGCUGAGGCGCGAAAGCGUGGGGAGCAAACAGGAUUAGAUACCCCAGUAGUCC
rnacentral:rRNA from 1 species